AAGGUGGUGAAGCAAUUGAUGCCCCGCUUCCAGGAAAAGCCUCUAAGCUUCAGGUUACCAACAAUCGUACCCCAAACCGACACAGGUGGUCAGGUAGAGAAUACUCAGGCGCUUGAGAGAACUCGGGUGAAGGAACUAGGCAAAAUGGUGCCGUAACUUCGGGAGAAGGCACGCUGGCGGUAGGUAAAGUCCCUUGCGGACGGCGCUGAAGCCAGUCGAAGAUACCAGCUGGCUGCAACUGUUUAUUAAAAACACAGCACUGUGCAAACACGAAAGUGGACGUAUACGGUGUGACGCCUGCCCGGUGCUGGAAGGUUAAUUGAUGGGGUCAGCCGUAAGGCGAAGCUCCUGAUCGAAGCCCCAGUAAACGGCGGCCGUAACUAUAACGGUCCUAAGGUAGCGAAAUUCCUUGUCGGGUAAGUUCCGACCUGCACGAAUGGCGUAAUGAUGGCCAGGCUGUCUCCACCCGAGACUCAGUGAAAUUGAACUCGCUGUGAAGAUGCAGUGUACCCGCGGCAAGACGGAAAGACCCCGUGAACCUUUACUAUAGCUUGACACUGAACAUUGAGCCUUGAUGUGUAGGAUAGGUGGGAGGCUUUGAAGUGUGGACGCCAGUCUGCAUGGAGCCAACCUUGAAAUACCACCCUUUAACGUUUGAUGUUCUAACCUAGGCCCAUAAACUGGGUCGGGGACCGUGUCUGGUGGGUAGUUUGACUGGGGCGGUCUCCUCCUAAAGAGUAACGGAGGAGCACGAAGGUUGGCUAAGCAUGGUCGGACAUCAUGCGGUUAGUGCAAAGGCAUAAGCCAGCUUGACUGCGAGAGUGACGGCUCGAGCAGGUACGAAAGUAGGUCUUAGUGAUCCGGUGGUUCUGAAUGGAAGGGCCAUCGCUCAACGGAUAAAAGGUACUCCGGGGAUAACAGGCUGAUACCGCCCAAGAGUUCAUAUCGACGGCGGUGUUUGGCACCUCGAUGUCGGCUCAUCACAUCCUGGGGCUGAAGUAGGUCCCAAGGGUAUGGCUGUUCGCCAUUUAAAGUGGUACGCGAGCUGGGUUUAGAACGUCGUGAGACAGUUCGGUCCCUAUCUGCCGUGGGCGUUGGAAGAUUGAGAGGGGUUGCUCCUAGUACGAGAGGACCGGAGUGAACGCACCACUGGUGUUCGGGUUGUCAUGCCAAUGGCAUUGCCCGGUAGCUAAGUGCGGAAGAGAUAACCGCUGAAAGCAUCUAAGCGGGAAACUUGCCUCGAGAUGAGUCUUCCCUGUCGCUUUAAGCGACCUAAAGGAACGUUUAAGACUAAGACGUUGAUAGGCUGGGUGUGUAAGCGUAGCGAUACGUUGAGCUAACCAGUACUAAUGAACCGUGAGGCUUAACCUG
rnacentral:rRNA from 1 species